UACGUAGGGUGCAAGCGUUUGUCCGGAAUUUAUUGGGCGUAAAGAGCUCGUAGGCGGUUUGUCGCGUCUGCUGUGAAAACGCGGGGCUCAACUCCGCGCCUGCAGUGGGUACGGGCAGACUAGAGUGCAGUAGGGGAGACUGGAAUUCCUGGUGUAGCGGUGGAAUGCGCAGAUAUCAGGAGGAACACCGAUGGCGAAGGCAGGUCUCUGGGCAUUAACUGACGCUGGAGGAGCGAAAGCAUGGGGAGCGAACAGG
rnacentral:rRNA from 1 species